rnacentral:rRNA from 1 species
UACCAGCUCCCUGAGUGGUAGGGAUGAUUAUUUGGCCUAAAGCGUCCGUAGCCGGCUUGGUAAGUCCUUCGUCAAAUCCAACGACUCAAUCGUUGGUCCGCGGAGGAUACUGCCAGGCUAGAGGACGGGAGAGGUUGACGGUAGUCCCAGGGUAGGGGUGAAAUCCAAUAAUCCUGGGAGGACCACCAGUGGCGAAGGCGGUCAACAAGAACGUGCCUGACGGUGAUGGACGAAAGCUGGGGGAGCGAACCGGAUUAGACACCCGGGUAGUCCCAGCUGUAAACGAUGCAGGCUAGGUGUUUGGGCGGCCACGUGCCGCUCUAGUGCCGCAGGGAAGCUGUUAAGCCUGCCGCCUGGGGAGUACGGCCGCAAGGCUGAAACUUAAAGGAAUUGGCGGGGAGCACCACAAGGGGUGAAGCUUGCGGUUU